AGGGAGCUAGUCCAAAAAAAGAUCUCUGAUUUCGGCUCAGAACAUCGUGGUUUAAGUCCACGGCCCCCUU
rnacentral:tRNA from 1 species